rnacentral:rRNA from 1 species
AUGCGGAGAAUCGGGUUGGUCCGAGCGAGGGCGCUGGAAUUUGUUCGAGGCUCGAGCGCGCUCGUGGUGCUCGUGCGUGGCGAAAACGGGAGCGCGGACGGGAGCGCGAGCAGAGGCCGGAGGCGAAGAAUGCGGGAAAGGGGAAGCGCGGGGUGGCCGGAACGGACCAAUUUAUUAUCCUCGCGGGCGACUUUCUCACUUCUUCUGUCACUAAACCCCCUUUCAAAAGUUGGGGGGCCAGCUAGAGUACAAAGCCAAAUGGAGAAUUUUAGAGCAGCUCUAGCAGACUGUGGAUUGACAGAUUUGAGCUAUGUGGGAGACAAAUACACAUGA